AAUGGCCAAACACAAUACGGUUGCUAAGCCGCGAGGUGGCGCCAAUCCAUAAAAGUUGGUCUCAGUUCAGAUUGUAGGCUGCAACCGCCUGCAUGAAGAUGGAGUUGCUAGUAACCGCAGGUCAGCUAUACUGCGGUGAAUACGUUCCCGGGGCUU
rnacentral:rRNA from 1 species